UCACAGAGUGCGGCACCAGGGGGCAGCGCGCGCUGCGCGUCCGUUAGGAGUGGCAGACGGAGCUGCACAUGUGUAGUCAGCCGGAAUUUUUCGUGUCGUGUUGUAAAAGUUGUUAAUUUGCCGUAAAUAUCUCUUGAUUUGUACUCAAGAGUGAAGCAAGACUCCGAGGAAGAGAGAUUGACGCAUCGGGAGCGAAGGACAGAAACGAUGGAUGGUUACGCUGCUUGGGUCUCGGCACGUUCGAAUUGGCAAAGUUCCGAAUUUGUCGCUGUGUUUUGUACGCUUGUGCGCUCGUCAUUUGCCGUCAUCGCGCGGAGAUAUUUGCGCUGGAUGUCUUUCACUUCGUGUACAAAACUCUGCACGCUGCGGCAUCGAAGAAGUUGUCCUGUGUUUGGGUGCACGUAUGCGCUUGGACACGGAUAUAUCCUGCUUGCUCUCAACGGGUGUUCAACAGUCUACGCGCACUCGUAACUUGCUCAUGAGGCAAGUUGCUGUUGUGCUGGAGCUGAGAAGAGGUCUGCUGCCUGCAAUGGGUCCAUCUCUCUCAAGUUAUCGCAGUAUUGUGGCUCUCAAAGUUCAAAAAAGUAUGGUGGAAGCUGUUGCCAAGGUUCCGACCAGAAAAGACAGCCAGUAUAAAAGGGUCCACACCACUGAUCUCUACUACAGGGGAUGGACAGCACAUCGAGCACCCUCGACUGAAGCCAACCUUGUCCCGGAAGUUGGUGCUUCACAACUUUGCGGCAGCACUUCGUUUACACGGGUGUGUGGCAUUUCUUCCCCUAACAUGCCUGCCUGAUGUGCCAUAACCUACCCAAGCAGUGUUUCGAGGUGUCCAGAAUUUUUCCAUUGCAGUGUCUACAGUGUAGCUAACAUAAGUGGCGUGCAAUGGGGACACUGGUAAAUGAGAAAAAACUUGAUGUAAGAGAACACUAUCGUAUACGGGUUCAGAUUGUCAUAAAAGCGCUUACCAGACAUGUAGAGACCUCCUAAAAUGCAAAAAAACCACAAAGAAAAGUUUUUCGGCAGCAAUAUUAUCUGAUCGCACGCACUAGUUAGUCCACCAUAUGCCCUGCUUCCAGGACAAGUGCCUGCAUGACACCGCAUUUCCACUGGCUUCACCUGCAUCCGGUGCGGUGUGCUGCAUCCAGCAAAACAUUAGAAAUCACUGGUGCACAGUGUUUUCUGUCCCCUUUCUCGACACCUACUGAACACAUGGUAAACUGUUUCCAAAGCAAAAAAACAGGGAAAGGGCUCUGAACACAUUGCAUUUUAAAGUGGCUGGUACUGGGUAACGCAAGUACUGUGGCAUAGUAGAUUUGCACCAGGUAACCUGGGCGCCCAAAAAGGCUGCUGUUUACUUGCAAAUGGCCAACGUAUUGUGAGCAUGUUGAAGUUCUUUUUUUAUUCUCAUCGCUUAUUUAGCUAGUGGAGACAGCUUUCACAACUGGAGAAGAAGCCUUGGAGGCAUGAAACACUUCACAAAACCAGCUUCAAUAUAACGUGUCUGCAUCACAAUUUCAUGGCUGCAUGAGUGAACCCUCUGGUUAACAUGUAAGAGUGUUCAUGAUGUUUGCCAUGCAUUAUCCACUUUAUUUACAGGUCAACCCUAUCUUGAGAUUUAAGCUGAUGUUGCGUUUAGAGAAAUUAUGGCCGA